rnacentral:rRNA from 1 species
AUUGAACGCUGGCGGCAGGCCUAACACAUGCAAGUCGAGCGGAUGAAGGGAGCUUGCUCCUGGAUUCAGCGGCGGACGGGUGAGUAAUGCCUAGGAAUCUGCCUGGUCGUGGGGGAUAACGUCCGGUAACGGGCGCUAAUCCCGCAUACGUCCUGAGGGUGAAAGUGGGGGAUCUUCGGACCUCACGCUAUCAGAUGAGCCUAGGUCGGAUUAGCUAGUUGGUGGGGUAAAGGCCUACCAAGGCGACGAUCCGUAACUGAUCUGAGAGGCUGAUCAGUCACACUGGAACUGAGACACGGUCCAGACUCCUACGGGAGGCAGCAGUGGGGAAUAUUGGACAAUGGGCGAAAGCCUGAUCCAGCCAUGCCGCGUGUGUGAAGAAGGUCUUCGGAUUGUAAAGCACUUUAAGUUGGGAGGAAGGACAGUAAGUUAAUACCUUGCUGUUUUGACGUUACCAACAGAAUAAGCACCGGCUAACUUCGUG